rnacentral:rRNA from 1 species
UGAGCAAUCUGCCCUUCUCAUCGGAAUAAGCGUUGGAAACGACGUCUAAUGCCGAAUACGACCUCCUUUCGCAUGAUCGGAGGUGGAAAGCUCCGGCGGAGAAGGAUGAGCUCGCGGCCUAUCAGCUAGUUGGUGUGGGUAAUGGCCCACCAAGGCGACGACGGGUAGCCGGCCUGAGAGGGUGACCGGCCACACUGGGACUGAGACACGGCCCAGACUCCUACGGGAGGNAG